rnacentral:SRP_RNA from 1 species
NNGCUAGGUAACGAUAGCUUGUGACCCGAGUGGGGGCAGUAAAGUGAAGGAAGAAGCAAUGUGGAGUAAGAAGAAGAUGAGGCCUUAUUAAUGUUUCUUCUCUUUGAUAUAAUAGACAUAAGAAGUGUGCACCUGUAAUACGAAAAUCGCACAUUCCACAACGUAGAGGAAAUGUUGCACUAGCUUCUUCUCCUCAAUAGUAAUACCUGCUUCAACCGUCACCUUU